rnacentral:rRNA from 1 species
AGCGAACGCUGGCGGCAGGCCUAACACAUGCAAGUCGAACGAACCCUUCGGGGUUAGUGGCGGACGGGUGAGUAACACGUGGGAACGUGCCUUUAGGUUCGGAAUAACUCAGGGAAACUUGUGCUAAUACCGAAUGUGCCCUUCGGGGGAAAGAUUUAUCGCCUUUAGAGCGGCCCGCGUCUGAUUAGCUAGUUGGUGAGGUAAUGGCUCACCAAGGCUACGAUCAGUAGCUGGUCUGAGAGGAUGACCAGCCACAUUGGGACUGAGACACGGCCCAAACUCCUACGGGAGGCAGCAGUGGGGAAUCUUGCGCAAUGGGCGAAAGCCUGACGCAGCCAUGCCGCGUGGAUGAUGAAGGUCUUAGGCUUGUAAAAUUCUUUCACCGGGGACGAUAAUGACGGUACCCGGAGAAGAAGCCCCGGCUAACUUCGUGCCAGCCGCCGCGGUAACAC